UACGGAGGGUCCGAGCGUUAAUCGGAAUUACUGGGCGUAAAGCGCAUGCAGGCGGUUUGUUAAGCAAGAUGUGAAAGCCCCGGGCUUAACCUGGGAAAGUCAUUUUGAACUGGCAAGCUAGAGUCUUGUAGAGGGGGGUAGAAUUUCAGGUGUAGCGGUGAAAUGCGUAGAGAUCUGAAGGAAUACCGGUGGCGAAGGCGGCCCCCUGGACAAAGACUGACGCUCAGAUGCGAAAGCGUGGGGAGCAAACAGG
rnacentral:rRNA from 1 species